CCUACGGGAGGCAGCAGUGGGGAAUUUUGCGCAAUGCUCGUAAGAGUGACGCAGCGACGCCGCGUGAAUGACGAAGGCCCUCCGGUCGUAAAGUUCUUUCAACAGGGAAGAAAAUGCAUAUAAGUAACUGUGUAUGUAUUGACGGUACCUGUAUAAGCAGCCCCGGCCAACUCCGUGCCAGAAGCCGCGGUAAUACGGAGGGGGUGUGCGUUGUUUGGAGGGACUGGGCGUAAAGAGCACGUAGGCGGUGUUGUAAGUCAUUAGUCAAAGACUAGAGCUCAACUUUAGUAAGGCUAGUGAUACUAUAAUACUAGAGUAUCAGAGAGGAAGGCAGAAUGCCUGGUGUAGCGGUGAAAUGCGUAGAUAUCAGGAGGAAAACCGUUAGCGAAGGCAGCAAUCUGGCUGGAAACUGACGCUGAGGUGCGAAAGCGUGGGUAGCAAACAGGAUUAGAUACCCCAGUAGUC
rnacentral:rRNA from 1 species